rnacentral:lncRNA from 1 species
GGAAUUGCUAUUCCAUUUUAUAGAUCAGGAGAUGGUGAGUCACUUGCCCCAUGUGGUUAGGAUUGGGCUCCACUUGUGCAACUUAGUGUAGAGGGAGACAGAAAAAAAAAACGUAGAAGCCCAUUUAUUUUUCUCUCGCAUGUACAAAAAGUCUGGAAAUAAAUAGUGCAGGGCAGAGAUGGUGCACCAGCUCUGAAGGCCCCGGCUCCGUGCACCUGACCCGUCACUCCCAUUUGUGCCCAGGGCCACCCAGUUCCAGCCAUGACAUCCUGCUCCAGGCAGCAGAGAGGGGUAAGACCGCAGAAGCAUGGGCUCCAUCCUUUCAAGGAACUUUUAGAAGCCACGUGUAGUAUUUCUGCUGUAUCUCAUUGGGAGAACUCAGCCACGGCCACACCUCGCUGCAGAGAGCAUCAGGAAAGCAGAUUCCUUAUGCCAGACAGCCUCGGAGGUUCCCCACCAGGGGAGGGAGAAUGGCGACGGGAGCCAUGGGCUGUCUUUGCCAUGGUAAGAACCCGGUCAGUCGGGCCCCAAGCUCUUAGCAUCCUUGAGAGAUGGAUAUGCUCAACUGAUUAGUCAGUUAUGCAUCAAUAAAGUUGUUCCAAAGGCAGACAGAGUCCAGGAAAUCAGGCUUCAGGAAUGAGA